rnacentral:piRNA from 1 species
UGGUAGGUGUUACUUUAAGAACUGCAG